GACGAACGCUGGCGGCGUGCUUAACACAUGCAAGUCGAACGAAGUGGCGAACGGGUGAGUAACGCGUAAUCAACCUGCCCUUCAGAGGGGGACAACAGUUGGAAACGACUGCUACUACCGCAUUCUGACGGAGGGGUUUGCGUUUGAUUAGCUAGUUGGAGGAGUCACGGCCCACCAAGGCGAUGAUCAGUAGCCGGUCUGAGAGGAUGAACGGCCACAAUGGGACUGAGACACGGGCCAGAAUCCAACGGGAGGCAGCAGGGGGGAAUCAUCCGCAAUGGACGAAAGUCUGACGGAGCAACGCCGCGGGAGUGAUGACGGCCUUCGGGUUGUAAAGCUCUGUUAAUCGGGACGCGGUACCGGAAUAGAAAGCCACGGCUAACUACGUGCCAGCAGCCGCGGUAAUUC
rnacentral:rRNA from 1 species